rnacentral:misc_RNA from 1 species
CAUCCCUUCCACUUUCAUCUUUGCGUACUUCAGUGGCCAUCCACGACACUCCUGAUCCAGUCAGCAGCAGUAAUCGAGUCACUAAUCUUGUGAAGCCGUCAUUUUUUACUCCACCUUCUUCAUCUGCAUUGAUGCCUCCACCUCUCUCUUCACCUGUGCCUACUGCUCCUGCUCUUCAUUCUCAUCUUAAUCUGCAACGCCCAUAUGGCAUUCCAGUGCUUCAACCCUUUCCACCUCCCAAUCCAUCAUUAUCUUUGACUCCUAGUUGUCUUGCUACUGCACCUGUUAUUCACAGAGAAAGAGUUCGUGAUGCACUUUUGACGCUGGUUCAGGAUGAUCAAUUCAUUGACAUGUUUUAUCAAGCACUGCUAAAGGUGCAUCAUUCUUGAGGUACUGGAGAGACGUAGCAGCCUUUCCUUUGGCAGAUCUUAUCAAGUACAAAAUACAUGCUUGUAACUCGAGUUUGGUGUACAGCUCUAUUCCAUAGAAAUAAUGGUGGCAUAACUCUCCGUAAUGCGCUUGUUCAUAUUUGACGUGAGGUUGCAAGGUUGGAAGGGAUUUAUAUACUCUUUGUUGGUUCAGUAUUCUGGUGUCUCCCAUGCAGUGGAAUGUUGUAGCAGUAGAAAUAGAAGUUUCAUAAUCUCAAGUCUCAACAAUUCAUUGCAGUUUUUCAGGCUCUGUAUUAUUGUACCAAUUGGGUCCGAGUAUGUGUUGGUAGGAAUUGAGGACAAUGUGUAAGAAAUGAUGUUUGUCUCUGCUGUCUCUGUCUGUCU